CCUACGGGAGGCAGCAGUGGGGAAUAUUGCACAAUGGGGGGAACCCUGAUGCAGCGACGCCGCGUGGGUGAAGGAGUAUUUCGGUACGUAAAGCCCUAUCAGCAGGAAAGAAAAUGACGGUACCUGACUACGAAGCCCCGGCUAACUCCGUGCCAGCAGCCGCGGUAAUACGUAGGGGGCGAGCGUUAUCCGGAUUUACUGGGUGUAAAGGGAGCGCAGGCGGCACGGCAAGCCUGAAGUGAAAGCCCGCGGCUCAACCGUGGGACUGCACUGGGAACUGCCGAGCUGGAGUGCGGGAGGGGCAGGCGGAAUUCCUAGUGUAGCGGUGAAAUGCGUAGAUAUCAGGAGGAACACCAGCGGCGAAGGCGGCCUGCUGGACCGUGACUGACGCUGAGGCUCGAAAGCGUGGGGAGCAAACAGGAUUAGAUACCCGAGUAGUC
rnacentral:rRNA from 1 species